AGAGUUUGAUCCUGGCUCAGAUUGAACGCUGGCGGCAUGCCUAACACAUGCAAGUCGAACGGAAGGCGGUAGCUUGCUACGGCCUUUAGUGGCGGACGGGUGAGUAACACGUAGGAAUCUGCCCUGGAGUGGGGGACAACCUGGGGAAACUCAGGCUAAUACCGCAUAAGCUCGCGAGAGGAAAGCGGGGGAUCGUAAGACCUCGCGCUGCAGGAUGAGCCUACGUCCGAUUAGCUGGUUGGCGGGGUAACGGCCCACCAAGGCGACGAUCGGUAGCUGGUCUGAGAGGACGACCAGCCACACUGGGACUGAGACACGGCCCAGACUCCUACGGGAGGCAGCAGUGGGGAAUAUUGGACAAUGGGCGCAAGCCUGAUCCAGCAAUGCCGCGUGGGUGAAGACGGCCUGCGGGUUGUAAAGCCCUUUAGGCGGGGAGGAACGGCGUCGGGCGAACAGCCUGCGUUCUGACGUUACCCGCGAAUAAGCACCGGUAACUCCGUGCCAGCAGCCGCGGUAAUAC
rnacentral:rRNA from 1 species